rnacentral:misc_RNA from 1 species
CGUGUGCUUUUUUUCGUCCACUGAAGAACAGAGAGUAAUUAGACACUCGGCGGAGAUAUCGCCACUGGAUCGUUUGCACGGAUCCCCGCGAAUCGUUUCGUUUUCAAAAGCCAUAAAAGAGCUUUGCUUUAUAUCGAGUGGAAACGAGACACCCGGUGUACAAAAGUACUUCUGGCGCAUCAUAGAAGAACUGGUUCACCAGCGUGUCCGCAUCGUUUUUGAUACUUUGUGAACAGGCAGGCCUGGCGUUCUCUCUGAAAUUACGAACACCUACAGAGCUUUUCAUACUCGGUGAAAAGAGCAUUCUUCACUGUUAAUCCCAGCCGUCCGUUUAUUUUCUCACUUGCUUUCUUUUUCCCCUCUAUCUCUGCUCUCUUUCUUUUUUCGAUAAAUAUUUAGAGAUACAGGUCCGCG